rnacentral:rRNA from 1 species
AGUGAACGCUGGCGGUAGGCCUAACACAUGCAAGUCGAACGGCAGCACAGUAAGAGCUUGCUCUUACGGGUGGCGAGUGGCGGACGGGUGAGGUAUACAUCGGAAUCUACUUUUUCGUGGGGGAUAACGUAGGGAAACUUACGCUAAUACCGCAUACGACCUACGGGUGAAAGCAUGGGAUCUUCGGACCUUGCGCGAUUGAAUGAGCCGAUGUCGGAUUAGCUAGUUGGCGGGGUAAAGGCCCACCAAGGCGACGAUCCGUAGCUGGUCUGAGAGGAUGAUCGGCCACACUGGAACUUAGACACGGUCCAGAGUCCUACGGGAGGCAGCAGUGGGGAAUAUUGGACAAUGGGCGCAAGCCUGAUCCAGCCAUACCGCGUGGGUGAAGAAGGCCUUCGGGUUGUAAAGCCCUUUUGUUGGGAAAGAAAAGCAGCAGGUUAAUACCCCGCUGUUCUGACGGUACCCAAAGAAUAAGCACCGGCUAACUUCGUG